rnacentral:rRNA from 1 species
GACGAACGCUGGCGGCGUGCUUAACACAUGCAAGUCGAACGGAAAGGCCCUGCUUUUGUGGGGUGCUCGAGUGGCGAACGGGUGAGUAACACGUGAGUAACCUGCCCUUGACUUUGGGAUAACUUCAGGAAACUGGGGCUAAUACCGGAUAGGAGCUCCUGCUGCAUGGUGGGGGUUGGAAAGUUUCGGCGGUUGGGGAUGGACUCGAGGCUUAUCAGCUGGUUGGUGGGGUAGUGGCGUACCAAGGCUUUGAGGGGUAGCCGGCCUGAGAGGGUGACCGGCCACACAGGAAGUGAGACAGGGUCCAGACUCCUACGGGAGGCAGCAGUAGGGAACCUUCGGCAAUGGGGGAAAGCAUGACGGAGCAACGCCGCGUGAGUGAUGAAGGUCUUCGGAUCGUAAAACUCUGUUAUUAGGGAAGAAAAAAUGUGUAAGUAACUAUGCACGUCUUGACGGUACCUAAUCAGAAAGCCACGGCUAACUACGUG